GACAGAGGUGCCAAGCGUUAGGCGGAAUCACUGGGCUUAAAGCGUGUGUAGGCGGGUGCCUAAGUACCUUGUGAAAUCCCCCGGCUCAACCGGGGAACGGCUGGGUAUACUGGGUGCCUUGGGUCAUCUAGGGCUGCCGGAACAAAUGGUGGAGCGGUGAAAUGCGUAGAUAUCAUUUGGAACGCCAAUGGUGAAAACAGGUAACUGGGGCUGUGCUGACGCUGAGACACGAAAGCCAGGGGAGCGAACGGG
rnacentral:rRNA from 1 species